GACGAACGCUGGCGGCGUGCUUAACACAUGCAAGUCGAACGGUGAAGCGCUUGCCUUUUUGGUGGGUGUGGAUGAGUGGCGAACGGGUGAGUAACACGUGAGUAACCUGCCCUCUUCUUCUGGAUAACCUCAUGAAAGUGGGGCUAAUACGGGGUAUUCCGGGUCUGUCGCAUGCGGGGUUGGGGAAGGUUGGGCCCUUGGGUGGUUUUGGGGGGGGGGUGGCCCGCGGGCUUUCAGCUUGGUGGGGGGGGGAUGGGCUACCAAGGCGGGGGCGGGGAGCCGGCCUGAGAGGGUGGACGGCCACACUGGGACUGAGACACGGCCCAGACUCCUGCGGGAGGCAGCAGUGGGGAAUAUUGCACAAUGGGCGCAAGCCUGAUGCAGCGACGCCGCGUGAGGGAUGGAGGCCUUCGGGUUGUGAACCUCUUUCGCCAGUGAAGCAGGCCUGCUCCUGUGUGGGUGGGUUGACGGUAGCUGGAUAAGAAGCGCCGGCUAACUACGUG
rnacentral:rRNA from 1 species